rnacentral:rRNA from 1 species
AUGACGAUCUUGGCAUGGAACUGUCGAGGCCUCGGGCAACCUCGCACAGUUCAGGAACUCGUGUGCCUAGUGCACACCUACAAGCCCAAGCUUGUCUUCCUCUCUAAAACUCGGCAGAAUAAUAAAUACGUUAGGAAUCUGAAAUGGAGGCUCGGCCUUCGUCACUGUAUCGUGCAACCUGGCACUGGAAAAGGUGCUGGCAUUGCCCUCUUUUAUGAUGAGAGUGUGGAAAUAAAGAAGAUUGCCGUGGGGGCGAGAUAUAUCGAUGUGUUGAUCCGUUUGAACCCUCAAGGCCUCCAAUGGAGAGGGACCUUUGUGUACGGGGAACCAAAAGCACACGAGCGACAUCGUAUGUGGACUCUGCUUAGGAGGAUCAAGGAUACAAGUAACCUUCCCAGGAUGAUGAUGGGAGACUUUAAUGAAACCAUGUGGCAAUCUGAGCACUUCUCAUCCUCAAAGAGAUCCGAGAAAAAAUGGAAAAUUUUCGUAAAGUUUUAUCUAACUGUAAUCUGUUUGAUAUGGAUUUUAAAGGACCGGCGUGGACUUACAGUAACAAGCAACAUGGCAGUGCUAAUGUUAGAGCGCGUUUGGAUAGAUACGUGGCCUCCCCGGAGUGGUCGGAUUAUUUUAAACAUGCCACUGUCCAGCAUAUUUGUUCGUCAAGGUCUGAUCACUUACCUGUAUUGUUGA